UACGGAGGGGGCGAGCGUUAUUCGGAAUUAUUGGGCGUAAAGAGCUCGUAGGCGGCUUGUCACGUCGGAUGUGAAAGCCCGAGGCUUAACCUCGGGUCUGCAUUCGAUACGGGCAGGCUAGAGUUCGGUAGGGGAGACUGGAAUUCCUGGUGUAGCGGUGAAAUGCGCAGAUAUCAGGAGGAACACCGGUGGCGAAGGCGGGUCUCUGGGCCGAUACUGACGCUGAGGAGCGAAAGCGUGGGGAGCGAACAGG
rnacentral:rRNA from 1 species